ACUCACCACUUUCUCUCUCCAAUAUCUCCGAGAUAAGAAGCAGCCAAGUGAGCAGACACGAUAGGAAUGAUGAUUUGUACUAAGUGCAUCGGUUCUGAACGGUACAAUUCCAUCGGCGGACAACAUCCUCCUCCGCCGCCGUGCUCCGCCAUCGGUUACAGUUGAUUCCGGCAGGCUAUGAUGAUUCUAAGCCUAAUAAAUUUUGAAGAUUAAAGGCUGUUAUCGGUGUGAUUUGGGUUAUUGCAUCAUUUUUUAUUGUUCAGGUGCGAAGAAGGAUGGAGGUAGUCGACUAUUAGGUCCAAAUCGGGAACAAUCAGGUUAGUUUUUAGUCUAUUUCGGUUCAGUAGCAAUGAUUCUUGAUUAAGAUUGAAACAUGCAUCUUUUUGAGGUUGUUUAACGAAAUUAUUUUUACCGAUUUAAGGGUUGUAUCUGGGUCUGACUAACUAAUUCCAGCAAAAAUCAAGGUUUGAUUCUGAUACAUGCAGAUUUGGGGACUAGAGUUUUAGUGUUUGUUUCAGGUUUAGAAGUGAUUUGGUUAUUACUGGGGUAUAUAGUUAUAGUUACUUGGAUUUGAAUGAUUCGGUUUAUCAAACCAAAAGAUUAAUAUGUAGAAGUGUGGAACUGCAUGUUGAAUGUCUGUCUUUUGCCAAAGGAUUAUGCUCAUAGUUUUUUUCUACCAAAUUAUUAUUAAUUAUACAACCCCUUUUGGAAUUUGUGGAAUUCAUGGUUUUUACAUUUCUUCAUGGCUGGUGAUCCACUUUAUGUUACUUUAUGCCUAAAGGCGGAAGCUGCAAAUGGAAUAUUUACAGAAAAUGGGUAACACACCUUAUCCAAUGUUCUAAAAAGUUUUAUUUGUACUUAAGGGUGAGACAUCAAUAAUCUUGGUUUAUUGAUCAUAACUAAUUGAGUGUUUUUUAUAGUUUUAGAAUUGUAAAGGUUGUUUGAUUCAUUAAGCAUAAUUAAUUUAGUUUUAGCGUUAUAAAGUGACUUGGUUUGUUGGGCAUAAUUAACUAAGUUCUUAAUAUUUGGAAUCUGAAUGCAUGUAGUAAUUGCUUUUUAUUUUGUUAUUUUUUUUAAGGUAUUACAUGCCUACAAAUCCUGUUCGUGGACCAUGGGUAUUGCUUGCAUGCUCAUCAAUUAGUUUUUGCCAUCAACUGACAAAUGACAUAUUCUUGUAAUUAUAUGCUCAAAUUGUUACAUUUAUAUUUAUUUGUCAUGUUUUCUAAUCAAGUUUCUGCUUUUUUUUUUAAUAGACUUAUUUGUUCAGGUGCUACCAUUAUUUUGACAUUUAGUUGCAUCUAAAAGUGCAAAAAGAAAAGAUCAUAUCGGCAGCAAAUAAGUGAACACAAGCUCUAGAGAUAGGCGGUUAUUCACUUGGGUAGUGUAAUGGAUUAGAGCCAACACUUUAUGGCUUUAUGCCAUAAUGGGUCAGAGUGAGUUCGUUUGGGUUGACCACAAACAUUUUUUUCUCUUGAAUUUUGUAAAAAAAAAAUUAAUGUUUGAAAUAAUAUUACUAAAAUGUAUAAUUAAAUACUAAUCUGUACAUUAUAUAAAGCCACCUUAGAGAUAGUAAAAAUAUACACUCAGGGUCACCUUCAGCCCAUUCAACACAUUUGGUCCAUUGUGCAAAGGAAGAAGAACUGAAUGCAGUAAUUGAAGAACUAGGAACAAAUUACUCGGUUUCACAAGAGAAAUUCAUGAAAGAAGAAACCGAAAACUGGUUGUAGUUGAAACACUGGCAAUGGAAAAGAAUGCUAUAAUGACUGCAAAAACACGCCAACUCAUUUUACAGUCCAUUUCGAGAAGCUUUAGACUCGAAUCCCUGUUUUGGAGACAAGAAAACGUAUGUAACUGUUGAUGAAUGGUGAUAAUAAGACGAAAGAGAGGUUGAGUGAGAGUGGUGGCGAUGUACUGAAGAAGAAGUUGAAACCUCUGUUUAUUGUGAAACAUCUAUUUGGCAAAGGCACACUUGGUGAUGGUAUUGAGUAUUGGAAGGGCUUCUAACAGAGUUUACGACCUACACAAAUGGGAUUAUCACUGAACAUUGACAUGUCAGCUCGGGCUUUCUAUGAAAACAAGUUGGUAUCUGAGUUUGUUAAAGAAUUUCUCAACAAGGAUCAAGAACGUAUCAAGGGAAGAGAGCUCUUCAAGGAGUUAGGGUUGAAGUUCACCAUGGGGAUUCUGUGAGGCGCUACAAGUGUCAAGACUUGACAGUCAACCAGUUAACCAACUAACUUUCGUGGAUGACACUGGAGCUACAAUUUCUGUUGUUCAGUACUUCCGAGCAAGUACAACACCACUCUUCGAUGGUGAUUUUUUUCAAAUUGGAAGGAUGCAUGGUUUCCGGUAGUCGGCACGUUACAACGGUGAUUUUUUCUCCGGCGUCUCAGCAGGGCAUAUACACCCAAACAAAGAGUGCGCGUGAGAGAUAAAAGAAACGCGAGAGCAGCCAAAGAGAAUGUUUUGAAAGGUAUUCGCUAAGAAGUAGUUACAAAGAGAACAAGAAGCCACCAUUGGCAAUGAGCUUUGAAAGAUCAUCAGUGGAAACGAAGACUGCAGUGAGAAGGACUGCAAGAAAAGGGUACUGAAAACGGAUAGUUGAGUUACUAGCUUCCUUAUCAUUUUGGUUUUGGAAUUAUGGUACUGAUGGAAAAGGAAGGUUUGCUAGCUUUCCCUAUGGGAAAGAUUGAUCAGACUCACAUGUGGAAAGUAGGUGAACAAGAUGCUAAUUCACAAAGUGAGUCUAGUGCCCACUGAUUUGGGUUGCUGGUCAUGGACAACAAGAUGCUUUAAAACUUUUACUAAAACACAAGGCUGAUGUAAAGCUUCAAUGAAGACUGUUUCUUUUGUUUUUGAUUUAUUUUAUGUUUUUUUUUAAUUUUGAUUUGUUGCAUAGAUACUCUCUCCAUUGAACAACUGUUUCUUUAUAAUCUAUUUUCAAUUAGUGUUGUAAAAAAUGUAUAGUAAUUCGUUCUUUAAUAA